UCUUACUCAUAAAUUUCUUACAAAUGUCAAGUACACUCUGUUUUUUUUUUUCUUUUAUUCUCUUAGUUAUGUUUCUUCCACUUGAGUUCUCUCACAUUCAACUUAUCUAUCCGAGAGAAGCAAACGUAAAAGCAUCAUCUUACAGAGGAAAAAACAAAGCCAGCCUUUGAAGUUUUCCAGACAGUGACUAAGUUUCCCGUCUUCUGCUUGGAAGUUACUCCUAGACUCUGUAUUUUGCAGAUUUUAUUUUCGGAUGAAAAAUGGAUGUAUCAUUUAUUAUGUAAAGAGUAUCAUAGAUAUAUGUGUAGAGGGUAGAUGUGUAUGUGUAGAUAAUGUAGAGCGUAGAUGUGUAUUUGUAGAGUAGAUCUAUCAUAGAUGUAUGUGUAGAGAGAGAGGAAGGAGAGAGAGAGAGGGGAAGGAGAGAGAGAGAGAGAGGGAAGAGAGAGAGGAGGGAGGGGAGGAAGGUGAGAGAGAGUAUUGUGGAAACGGUUGAAGCUAGGGAUGUUACCGUCGGUAAACCAGUCCGGCCCGGUCCGUACCUGAAAAAAGCCUUUGCAUCUUAGCCUAAGAUCUGGUUAAGAUACUACCAAUAAUGGUGGUCUUAUACAAAAUAUAUUUAAAAAUUAUAUAUGUGACCAUAAUCUUUAAUAAAAUUCAAUAAACUGUCUU